ACGGAAGGCAGCAGUGAGGAAUAUUGGUCAAUGGGCGGAAGCCUGAACCAGCCAAGUCGCGUGAAGGAUGAAGGUAUUAUGUAUUGUAAACUUCUUUAGCAGCAGAGUAAUAAGGGGGUCGUGACCCCCGAUGCAAGUAUGCUGAAAAUAAGGAUCGGCUAACUCCGUGCCAGCAGCCGCGGUAAUACGGAGGAUCCGAGCGUUAUCCGGAUUUAUUGGGUUUAAAGGGUGCGCAGGCGGUUUUUUAAGUCAGUGGUUAAAUCGUGAGGCUCAACCUCAUCACGCCAUUGAUACUGGAAGACUUGAUUGCGGUUGAGGUUGGCGGAAUUCGUCGUGUAGCGGUGAAAUGCAUAGAUAUGACGAAGAACUCCGAUUGGGAAGCCAGCUUACUGUAGCGCCACUGACGCUGAUGCUCGAAAGCGUGGGUAUCGAACAGGAUUAGAUACCCUGGUA
rnacentral:rRNA from 1 species